GUGCCAGCCGCCGCGGUAAUACGGAGGGGGCUAGCGUUGUUCGGAAUUACUGGGCGUAAAGCGCACGUAGGCGGAUUGGUAAGUUGGGGGUGAAAUCCCGGGGCUCAACCCCGGAACUGCCUCCAAAACUCCCAGUCUGGAGUCCGGGAGAGGCGAGUGGAAUUCCGAGUGUAGAGGUGAAAUUCGUAGAUAUUCGGAGGAACACCAGUGGCGAAGGCGGCUCGCUGGUCCGGUACUGACGCUGAGGUGCGAAAGCGUGGGGAGCAAACAGGAUUAGAUACCCCAGUAGUCC
rnacentral:rRNA from 1 species